rnacentral:rRNA from 1 species
UGACGGCGCGAGCAGGUGCGAAAGCAGGUCAUAGUGAUCCGGUGGUUCUGAAUGGAAGGGCCAUCGCUCAACGGAUAAAAGGUACUCCGGGGAUAACAGGCUGAUACCGCCCAAGAGUUCAUAUCGACGGCGGUGUUUGGCACCUCGAUGUCGGCUCAUCACAUCCUGGGGCUGAAGUAGGUCCCAAGGGUAUGGCUGUUCGCCAUUUAAAGUGGUACGCGAGCUGGGUUUAGAACGUCGUGAGACAGUUCGGUCCCUAUCUGCCGUGGGCGCUGGAGAACUGAGGGGGGCUGCUCCUAGUACGAGAGGACCGGAGUGGACGCAUCACUGGUGUUCGGGUUGUCAUGCCAAUGGCACUGCCCGGUAGCUAAAUGCGGAAGAGAUAAGUGCUGAAAGCAUCUAAGCACGAAACUUGCCCCGAGAUGAGUUCUCCCUGAGACUUU